GUGUGUAUGGCUCAGUGGUAGAGUGCAUGCUUAGCAUGCAUAAGUCCUGGGUUCAAUCCCCAGUACCUCCA
rnacentral:tRNA from 1 species